rnacentral:piRNA from 1 species
GCCCUUAGUCCAUGCUCCUAGAUUUGAAGC